GGCCUUUUCUUGGCCACGGGAAGCUCCUAUAUCAGGAGUGCCGUCUUCGGGCGGCUAUGGUGAUAAAUGAGCGGUGUAAUAAACCCAUUGGACCCGGGGGCGGUACCCGGCGCCUCCACCAAAAACCGGCCUGUUUGACCGGCUUUUGAUGGGGGCGAAAUAGGAUCGACAAGGGCGUAAAGAUCGACUUUUUGCUCGGCAUUGUACCACCGUUAUCGGGCUAAACUUGUAGUUGCAAAUGACAACUAUGCUGAAGCACGUCUCGCUGCUUAAUCGCAGUGUGACACUUCAAAUCAAGCCCUUACGGGUAGCACCGUAAGGCGGGGUUCGGAGGUACCUGGCAACAGAAACCUCCACU
rnacentral:tmRNA from 1 species